rnacentral:lncRNA from 1 species
AUGACAUGUGUUGUUUUUUGUGUGUUAACAGAGCCUGAAGACACCAACCCUGAGUCAGACGCUGCGAUAGAAGAGGCUGAAGAAACACCAGCAGCUGAAGAGAAACCUGCUGAAGCAGAAGCAGAAGAAGCAGCGGCUCCUGAAGCAGAUGACGCCGAUGCAACUAAAACAGAAGCCGAUCCACCUGCUGAAGAUCCUGAACAAGAAAUCAAGCCCGAAGAAGCUCCAGAUGAUGCAGAAACAGAGGAAGCACAAGAGGAAGCAGAAGGAGGUAAAAUGACUAAAUUCUGAAGCAGAAUCGCAUCUAUCCUUUGACAAAUUGAAUAAAUUGUUAAUAAAAAAGGUAAUUUAUUAAAUAUGCAAAUUAAGAAUAAGAAUGCAAUUCAAUCAAAUGGAUUAAUUUACCCAAUUUCUGCGUUAUCUAUUUCUAUGCGUGUUUUAGUAUUGACCCUUUUCACAGACUAAUGCCAUGUGUGCACAGUUAUUACUAUUGUAAAUCAAGCGAGGCUUCAUAUAUUAUCAUUUCUAUCAUCACGUUGUGUUCCGGUCAUUCUGACCCAGAAAAGAUUUAGUUUUUCCCAGAAAUAGUGAGUUAAUGUUAUCGCGUUGGACUAAACCCGACUUAACUCACACGGAGUAGAACAACUUACCAAAAAAUAAAAUAAAUUGGAUAAUUUUUGUACUUUUGGGGGAUUUUUUGGUUACACUUUUACACUAAAAAUAGCUUGUAAAUCUCUCAUUAUGCUGUAUUAUGACCAUAUCUUGGGUUAAAUCUUUUUAUCAGCUUGUUUUCUUUCAAUCAGCGCAGGUUUUGUGUUUCUUUUAGGAGCUGAUUGAAUCGUAGUCCUCAUUGAUCUGGGCUCAUGCACCUCAGAUUUUUAGUUGAAAAAAAAAAACAUUAUUUGUGCAUAAUUUUGGUUCAUGUCAGUUGAUAAAACCCCCUGAAUGCGACAUUUGGUAAUAAUACAGCAUAAUAACAGAUUUUACAAGCAAUUUUUGAAACAACAGUGACUUAUAACUAAAUUAUGUAAAGGAUUUUCAGCACAGAAAAGGGGUUAAAAAUGUAAUUUAGAUUUGUAACACUAUACUUUGUGUUGUAUUACCUUUUGCAUGAAAUUACAGAAAAACAGUGUUUCUUAAAUAAAAAUAAAAUAAAUUAAAUUAAAUUAUUUAUUUUAUUUAUUUUGAGGGAUUUGUACAUUGUUGUUCUGUCAUUUAUGUUUGUUGAUUUUUUUAAAAACAAAAAUCAUUGUAUUACAGUAAUUAGAAUCUAAAAGAUAAAUCUUUAAACAAAUAAGAAUUAUAAUAAUUAUUAUAAUAAUAGGAAUUAAAAUCUUGUGAGUGCAUACUACAGUAAUGAGAAUUUGAGUUACUAAUUAGCUUUGUAGUCAUGAAAAUAAAUAUAUAUUAAAAUGAUUUUGUUGUGAAAUGUGACUUGGGCAUGUUUUGAUGAGAUUCACCUUAUUUUGGCCUUGUUUUCUGGACUAAACGUCACAAAUGUUGGUGUUUUUCUAGACUUUACUGCUGUACCAGAGGAACCUGUGGACCCUGAAGGGGCUGUGGAAGGUCUGACGCUGGACUAUCUGUCAUUAAUUAGACUGCUGUUUUACUGUCUGUCACGUUCAGCUUUGUGUUUACAUG